rnacentral:rRNA from 1 species
AUGGAUUUAAUGGAGGCGGGGUCUAGCUCAAAUGUGGACACCAACAGCAGUGACAACUCUACCAGUAAGAAGAUGCUCAAUCGCACAGAGACGAUGCUAGUAGCUUUUAAGGAAUCUCAGCUCAUCGGGCGAGAGAAUGAAAAAUCAGAUAUUCUCAAGCUAAUUGCAAAUGAAGAUAGCCGGCGAUGUGAGGUGAUCUGCCUAUGGGGAAUGGGCGGUGUUGGAAAAACCACAAUAAUCAGAGAUGUCUACCAAAGCCAAGAACUCAUUGGCAAUUUUGAGAAGCGUGCUUGUGUCACAAUUAUGCGUCCUUUCAAUCCUCAAGAGCUCCUAAAAAACUUAGCUGAGCAGUUGGAAUGCAAGGAUGUGGAAGAUUUGGUCAAACAAUUAGAAGUGAAGAAAUACUUGAUUGUCCUUGAUGAUCUAUUAGCCACCACAGAAUGGGACGCCAUAAUACCAUAUCUUUCUCCAACUGAAACAUCCAGCCGAAUCAUAGUCACCACAAGGAUAAAGGAUAUUGCUAAGCAUUGUUCGAAGAAUUCUGAAUAUGAGAAAAUAUACGAGCUCAAAAGUCUAGGACAGAACAGCGCACGUGACCUCUUCAUUGAAAAGGUAUUUGAUAGGACUACGAAUUUGAAUGAGCAGUAUCCCGAGUUAGUUGAACAGGCAAACCUGAUCCUAAAGAAAUGCAAGGGACUUCCUCUUGCAAUAGUCACAAUUGGGGGCUUUUUGGCAAACCAACCAAAAACUGUUGUAGAAUGGAGGAAAUUGAAUGAGUAUAUCAGUGUCGAGUUGGAGAUGAAUCCAGAGCUUGGGACCAUAAGAACUAUCCUUAUGAGAAGCUAUGAUGGCUUACCUUAUCAUCUCAAGUCUUGUUUCCUGUAUAUGCCCAUCUUUCCCGAAGACUACAGGAUUGGACGAGGACGCUUGGCACGUCGGUGGAGUGCAGAGGGUUACUCAAGGGCGGUGCACGGCAGGUCUGCGGAGGAAAUAGGGGCUAGCUACUUCAUGGAGCUUAUAAGGAGGAGUAUGAUCCUACCAUCUCAACAAUCAAUUCACAGUGCAAAAGGAUUUAAUUCAUGCCAAGUCCAUGACCUCAUGCGUGAAAUCGGCAUGUCAAAGUCAAUGGAAGAAAAUCUUGUUUUUACACUAGAGCAAUGCUGCAGCGUAAACACCCAGGGCAUAGCACGGCACCUUGCUAUAAACGGCAAUUGGGAAGGAGAUAAGACUGAGUUUGAGAGCAUAGUGGACAUGUCUCGUGUACGAUCAGUAACAGUUUUUGGUGAGUGGAAGUCAUUUUUCAUUUCUGAUAAGAUGAGUCUUCUGCGAGUGCUGGACCUCGAAGACACCACAGGUCUUUCUGAUCAUCACCUUAAGCAUAUCGGGAGGCUUCUUCACCUAACAUACAUUUCUCUUAAAGGAUGCGAGAAUAUUUUUGACCUUCCAGAUUCGGUGGGUGACCUGAGAAAACUUGAGACACUAGACAUCAGAGAUACACACAUAUUUAUGCUGCCAAACACCAUCAUCAAGCUUCGGAAGCUACAAUAUCUUCGUGUUGGUAGAAACUCGUAUGAUGAGGAUGUCUCAUAUGAGGAAGAACUGUUAAAAGCAAUUCCAGAGAAAAUGAGGAACAGGCUAUGCCUCUUGCCUCAGUGCUUGCUGUUUUCUUAUUUAUUAUCUAAAUAUCGUGAUGACUUGAAAAUCCAUGAUAGAUGCACUAUGAUGUGCUGUUCUAUACUCCCUGCUUUUGCAAUGUGCCUGGACUUGUAUGGUGUUCUAGUGCCUAGAAGGAUGAGGAAGCUUAAAGCCCUGCGCACACUGGGUGUUGUGAACAUCGGGCGGCGUGGGAAGGAUGUUCUACUGGACAUAAAAGGACUCGAUCAGCUGCGCAAGUUGGGAGUGACUGGCGUCAACAAGGGAAAUGGCAAAGAGUUAUGUUCAGCAAUUGUUGGUUUGAGCCACCUGGAGUCAUUGUCAAUCCGGUCAGAGGGGAAGCCAGGUUUAUGUGAGUGCUUGGAUGGAAAAUUCUCGUUUCCAGAGACACUUCAGAGCCUCAAGCUGUACGGCAACCUGGUGAAACUGCCGGGAUGGAUCCAGGGGCUCAAGAAUCUUGUUAAGCUGAAGCUGCGGAGCUCCAGGAUAACAGAGCACGAUGCUGCCAUACAAGUCCUUGGGAAUCUACCCAAUCUGGCUUUCUUGCAUCUGUUGGAGAAGUCAAUCAAGGGUGAAGAGGUCUACCUCAGUUUCCAGCAGGGGACGUUCCGGAACCUGGUGGUGCUGGAGCAGAGCAUGGGACUCUACAGAAGGCUGAAGUCCGUCAAGUUUGAACAAGGAGCAGCCCCGAAGCUUGAGGUGCUCAAGUUUGGUUUAGGUACAUACAUCGACAGUUCUGUUUUGGGUCUACCAUCUCUGUCAAGCCUCAAGGAAGUUGUGAAGGAAGGUGGCAUAAGUGAAACCGCAUUGGCAUUCCUGAGAACCGAGCUUGCUGAACAUCCAAAUCGGCCUGUGGUGAAGACGGUCUGA